rnacentral:rRNA from 1 species
AAUAAAUGCUAUCGGUAUGCUUAACACAUACAAGUUGAAUGUUUUUAAAACAUAGCGAACGGGUGAGUAACACGUAAAUUAUCUACCUUUUAAUUCAGGAUAAUUAUUUUAUAAAAAUACUGAAUAUCUAAUCAUUAAAGUUUUUAACGUUAAAAGAUGAGUUUGCGGAAGAUUAUGGUAGUUGGUAGUUUAAAAGCCUACCAAGCCUUUUAUCUUUAGCUGGUUUGAAAGAAUGAUCAGCCACAUUGGGACUGAGACACGGCCCAAACUUUUUAAAGGCAGCAGUGGGGAAUUUUGGACAAUGAGCGAAAGCUUGAUCCAGCAAUACCGAGUGAGUGAAGAAGGCUAAUUAGGUUGUAAAGCUCUUUCAUUAAGGAGGAAAAUGACCGUACUUAAAAAAGAAGUACCGGCUAAUACCCGUG